rnacentral:ncRNA from 1 species
UAGGAUGUUAGACUUUCUUAUUACUCCGCUCCAUAAUAGCAACGCCCGGACAGGACGUCCGGGCGAGGUCGCCAUAAGGCAUGGAUGCCGCAUAAGACCGGUUGCGUGCCUACCUCAUAUAUUUGGCGGAGUAAUUAGAAAGUCUUC